rnacentral:ncRNA from 1 species
UGGUCCUAGCCUUGAAAUUAAUUUUUACUUAAUAUACACAUGCAAGUCUCCGCACCCCUGUGAAAACGCCCUUAAUCCCCGCUAGGGAAAAGGAGCCGGUAUCAGGCACGAAAAUCUGCCCAAAACACCUAGCUACGCCACACCCACAAGGGAACUCAGCAGUGAUUAACAUUUAAUAUAAGCGACAGCUUGAUUCAGUUAAAGUAAAAAGAGCCGGCUAAUCUGGUGCCAGCCGCCGCGGUUACACCAUGGGGCUCAAAUUAAUUUCUAUCGGCGUAAAGCGUGAUUAAAGUUUUUAAAAAUUUGGAGUUAAAUUAAAACUAAGCUGUGACACGCUUGUGAUUAAGAAACCCGAAACGAAAGUUACCCCAAUUAUACCAACUUGAACUCACGACAGCUAGAAUACAAACUGGGAUUAGAUACCCCACUAUGCCUAGCCGUAAACUUUAAAUUACAACCACAUCGCCCGAGAACUACGAGCAAAGCUUAAAACUCAAAGGACUUGACGGUACCCCAUAUCCCCCUAGAGGAGCCUGUCCUAUAAUUGAUAACCCCCGUUUAACCUCACCAUUUUUAGCAAAUCAGUCUGUAUACCUCCGUCGUCAGCUUACCACGUGAGCGAAACUUAGUGAGCUUAAUGCUAUUACACCAAUACGUCAGGUCAAGGUGCAGCAAAUGAAAUGGAAAGAGAUGGGCUACACUUUCUAACAUAGAAUACACGAAAGACUAUUUAUGAAACCUAGUCGGAAGGCGGAUUUAGCAGUAAAAAGAAAUCAGAACACUCUUUUUAACACGGCACUGGGGUGUGUACACACCGCCCGUCACCCUCUUCACAAGCCAUAAAUAGUAUUUAACUAAUUAACGCAUCAUAGAAGAGGCAAGUCGUAACAUGGUAAGUAUACCGGAAGGUGUGCUUGGAAA